UUGUGAACCGCUCCAGUAGCAGUAAAUCAGCUGAGACAACAGCAAUGCAUGCUCUUAAAUCGCUCCAGUCUUGAUGCCUAAUGGAUCGCACUGAAGAGGGAGUUCUCCGCAUUUCUGAAGUUUGGGAUGUGAUGAGUGAUAUUUUGGGUGCUUCAAUUUAUUGGAAUUCAGCUUGUAACAUUAACAAUUUAUUUUAAUUAUUUCCAAUAAAUGAUAUUUACCAUUGAAACAUAUACUUGAAUAUAAACAGAUUAUUUGAUAAACAGCUACAUUUUUAACCAUUUGUAUAAUUUUUAAGUUUUCCCAAAAUAUAUUCUUAUAUCUG